CUUUACCCUAAUUUUUUCAGUUUUAUCGUCUUCUCCACCUAAAGCUUCUCAACCCAUCAAUGGCAAUUUAGAGUUUUGGAGAAUUCUUGCUUUUUCAUCGGCGUUCUUCCACUUUCCUUUGUCUCUAAUCUCUUUUUCAUCUUUCUCCUCUUUGUUUUCAGACACAAAUCAACAAAAUUGAUUUGUUCUUCCUCUACAGAUUUCGUCAGACGGUUCCUUCACACUCGGUAUCAUCAAUUUCAUCAAAAACUAACGUUCCUUUACACUCGUCUCUCCCUCGUUGGUGAAGUGGGCAGUUUCUCACCCAAAGCAAACAUUCCUGCAACCACACCUGUUACAAUUGAUGUCACAACAGUGUAAUGGGAUACUACAAUUGAUCUACCGUGUUUUAGUCCCCAGUCUGAUAAAAUAAAGGGAAAAAAAGAAAAAGAUCAAACUACAAGAAGAUAAUCUGUUAUGUUAUACACGACGGUGCACUCAUAUAUAUAAAUGCAGAUGAAGACUAUUAGCAAGUGGAGUUAGGAUUUACUUGUCUUCUUCGCCAAAGCUCUUGACUCUAUCAAUGGCGAGUUAGGGUUCUUGGAAAAUCGUUGUUCUUCAUCGGUGUUUAUCCACUAGUUUCGUCUUUAAUCUCUGGUUUGUGAACUUUGCUUUCUCUCACUCAAAAUUUAACUAUUCUUGAUUAUUUAGGUUGGAGCAGAGAUCGUUAAAAGAGCACUGAGUUACCCACUGAAAUUGACAGCAAAGAAUGCUGGUGUCAACGGAAGCGUUGUCAGCGAGAAGGUGCUAGCAAUGAUAAAGAUCUCCAUGAACAUGAGUGAGUUUAUGCCUUUUUCAGGUUGUGAGAUGUUGCUUGGGACAUGCGGCCUCGGUUGCAAAAACGUUCUUUAUGUCUAACUGUGUGGUUGUUGAGAAAGGAGCCAACACCAGUUCCUACUGGCAACCCAAUGAACAAUUCAGGAUAUGGAUACUGAGAAAGACCAGCCGGAUUUACUCUUGAAGAUGAGAGAUAAAUGAACAUUCCGAAAUAAGAGUAGCUCACCGGGAUACAGAUUACUUUUAGCUUGCAAACAAACAAACAUUGCUGUGCAAAGUGUAAUGAUUUUUCGAACAAGAGCAUAAUGUGUUAAAAGUAUUCGGGAGUAAAG